rnacentral:miRNA from 1 species
GGUAAGAUGAGAGGGGAGGAUGGGAGAAAUGAGUAACAAAAGUGAAGAAAAAAAAAUCUAAAAUCUAUUUGAAAUUGUUUUCACUUUCAAGUUUUUGUUUUCACUUUUGUCACUCCUCCCUCCAAUCCUCCAUUCUCAUCAUCUCU